rnacentral:rRNA from 1 species
UACGGAAGGUCCGAGCGUUAUCCGGAUUUAUUGGGUUUAAAGGGUGCGUAGGCGGGAGAACAAGUCAGCCGUGAAAUCGCGUGGCUCAACCACGCCCAGCGGUUGAAACUGUUUUUCUUGAGUACGGUGAGGGAAGGCGGAAUUCGUGGUGUAGCGGUGAAAUGCAUAGAUAUCACGAAGAACUCCGAUCGCGUAGGCAGCUUUCCGUACCGGUUACUGACGCUGAGGCACGAAGGUGCGGGUAUCAAAC